rnacentral:rRNA from 1 species
UACGGAGGGUGCAAGCGUUAUCCGGAUUUAUUGGGUUUAAAGGGUCCGUAGGCGGAUCUGUAAGUCAGUGGUGAAAUUUCACAGCUUAACUGUGAAACUGCCAUUGAUACUGCAGGUCUUGAGUGUUAUUGAAGUAGCUGGAAUAAGUAGUGUAGCGGUGAAAUGCAUAGAUAUUACUUAGAACACCAAUUGCGAAGGCAGGUUACUAAGCAACAACUGACGCUGAUGGACGAAAGCGUGGGGAGCGAACAGG